AGAGUUUGAUCCUGGCUCAGAAUCAACGCUGGCGGCGCGCUUAACACAUGCAAGUCGAACGAGAAAGGGGGGCAACCCCCGAGUAAGGUGGCGUACGGGUGAGUAACACGUGGGUAAUCUCCCUCUGGGUGGGGAAUAACUCUGGGAAACCGGAGCUAAUACCGCAUAAGCCUGAGAAGGGAAAGGCGAAAGUCGCCAAGAAAGGAGCCCGCGGCUGAUUAGCUGGAUGGUGGGGUAAAGGCUCACCAUGGCAAUGAUCAGUAGCCGGCCUGAGAGGGCACACGGCCACACUGGCACUGAAACACGGGCCAGACUCCUACGGGAGGCAGCAGUAGGGAAUAUUGCUCAAUGGGCGAAAGCCUGAAGCAGCAACGCCGCGUGUGUGAUGAAGGCCUUCGGGUCGUAAAGCACUUUUCUGGGAGAUGAGAAAGGACAGUAUCCCAGGAAUAAGUCUCGGCUAACUACGUGCCAGCAGCCGCGGUAAAACGUAGAGGCAAGCGUUAUCCGGAUUCACUGGGCGUAAAGCGCGUGCAGGCGGUGCGGUAAGUUGGGCGUGAAAGCUCCCGGCUCAACUGGGAGAGGUCGUCCAAGACUACCGUACUCGAGAGCAGAAGAGGAAGAUGGAAUUCCCGGUGUAGUGGUGGUAAUGCGUAGAUAUCGGGAGGAACACCAGUGGCGAAGGCGAUCUUCUGGUCUGUUUCUGACGCUCAGACGCGACAGCUAGGGUAGUAAACGGGAUUAGAGACCCCGGUAAUCCUAGCCGUAAACGAUGUGAACUUGGCGUUGGUGGGUUAAACUCCAUCAGUGCCGCAGCAAACGCGAUAAGUUCACCGCCUGGGGACUACGGCCGCAAGGUUAAAACUCAAAGGAAUUGACGGGGGCCCGCACAAGCAGCGGAGCGUGUGGUUUAAUUCGAUGCUACACGAAGAACCUUACCCAGGCUUGACAUACAGGUGGUAGGGAUCCGAAAGGUGACCGACCCGCAAGGGAGCCUGUACAGGUGUUGCAUGGCUGUCGUCAGCUCGUGUCGUGAGAUGUUCGGUUAAGUCCGCUAACGAGCGCAACCCUUGCCGCGUGUUACAAGUGUCACGCAGGACCGCCGGUAUUAAGCCGGAGGAAGGUGGGGAUGACGUCAAGUCAGCAUGGCCUUUAUGCCUGGGGCUACACACACGCUACAAUGGGCAGUACAAUGGGUUGCUAAGCCGCGAGGUGGAGCCAAUCCCCCAAAACUGUCCUCAGUUCAGAUUGCAGGCUGCAACUCGCCUGCAUGAAGCCGGAGUUGCUAGUAAACGCGCGUCAGCUAUAGUGCGUUGAAUACGUUCUCGGGCCUUGUACACACCGCCCGUCACGUCAUGGGAGCUGGUAACACCUGAAGCCGGUAGCCUAACCGCGAGGAGGGCGCCGUCGAAGGUGGGGCUGGUGACUGGGACGAAGUCGUAACAAGGUAGGUGUACCGGAAGGUGCGGCUGGAUCACCUCCU
rnacentral:rRNA from 1 species